rnacentral:rRNA from 1 species
UUGGAGGGCAAGUCUGGUGCCAGCAGCCGCGGUAAUUCCAGCUCCAAUAGCGUAUAUUAAAGUUGUUGCAGUUAAAAAGCUCGUAGUUGAAUUUCGGGGUUAGUAGGUUGGUCAUGCCUCUGGUAUGUACUGGUCUCACUGAUUCCUCCUUCCUGAUGAGCCGUAAUGCCAUUAAUUUGGUGUUGCGGGGAAUUUGGACUGUUACUUUGAAAAAAUUAGAGUGUUUAAAGCAAGCUAACGCGUGAAUACAUUAGCAUGGAAUAAUGAAAUAGGACGUUCGAUCCUAUUUUGUUGGUUUCUAGGAUUGACGUAAUGAUUAAUAGGGAUAGUUGGGGGCAUUAGUAUUCAAUUGUCAGAGGUGAAAUUCUUGGAUUUAUUGAAGACUAACUACUGCGAAAGCAUUUGCCAAGGAUGUUUUCAUUAAUCAAGAACGAAAGUUAGGGGAUCGAAGACGAUCUGAUACCGUCGUAGUCUUAACCAUAAACUAUGCCGACUAGGGAUCGGAUGAUGUUAAUUUUUUAAUGACUCAUUCGGCGCCUUACGGGAAAC